rfam:TPA: Bos taurus chromosome 10, whole genome shotgun sequence.
UCCCUUGUGGCUCAGCUGGUAAAGAAUCUGCCUGCAAUGCAGAAGACCUGGGUUCAAUCCCUGGGUUGGGAA